rnacentral:lncRNA from 10 species
AAAUAGUUGACCAAGUGUGGUGGCUCACGUAGUCCCAGCACUUUGGGAGGCUGAGGCAGGAGGAUCACUUGAGCCCAGGAAUUUGAGACCAGCUUGGGCAACAUAGUGAGACCUCAUCUCUUAAAAAAAAAAAUUAGCUGGGUGUGGUAGUGCACACCUGUGGUCCCAGCUACUUUAGAGGCUGAGGUAGAGGAUUGCUUGAGCCUGGGAAGUUGGGGCUGUAGUGAGCUUUGAUUGCAUCACUGCACUCCAGCCUGGGUGACAGAGCAAGACCCUGUCUCUAAAAAAUUAAAUAAAUAAUAAAAAAAUUAAAAAGUAACUCCCU